rnacentral:rRNA from 1 species
AUUGAACGCUGGCGGCAUGCCUUACACAUGCAAGUCGAACGGCAGCACGGGGCGACCUACCGUGGUCGGACGUGGUCGGGAACCGGGUAACGGGUAGGUAAAGUUAAACUAACUACGGUAACCGGGUAACGGUUCCGUUCCGUUAGGUACGGGGGGACGGGGGUAAACCUUAACCCUUCCGUAAACGGAAAGGAAGGGACGGUAACUUAAACCGUACCCGACUAACGUAACCCCGAACCCUAGGGUUGGGGUAAAGGAAAGGGGGGAAGGGGUACGUCCGAACGAAACCGUACCCUUCCUACCUAACUUUAGGUAGGGAC